rnacentral:rRNA from 1 species
GAUCCUGGCUCAGGACGAACGCUGGCGGCGUGCUUAACACAUGCAAGUCGAACGAAGAGCGAUGGAAGCUUGCUUCUAUCAAUCUUAGUGGCGAACGGGUGAGUAACGCGUAAUCAACCUGCCCUUAAGAGGGGACGAACAGUUGGAAACGACUGCUAAUACCGCAUACGAUCUGACCUCGGCAUCGAGGAUAGAUGAAAGGUGGCCUCUAUUUAUAAGCUAUCACUGAAGGAGGGG